rnacentral:rRNA from 1 species
GUGGACGCCAGUCUGCGUGGAGCCGACCUUGAAAUACCACCCUUUAAUGUUUGAUGUUCUAACGUGGACCCGUGAUCCGGGUUGCGGACAGUGUCUGGUGGGUAGUUUGACUGGGGCGGUCUCCUCCUAAAGAGUAACGGAGGAGCACGAAGGUUGGCUAAUCCUGGUCGGACAUCAGGAGGUUAGUGCAAUGGCAUAAGCCAGCUUGACUGCGAGCGUGACGGCGCGAGCAGGUGCGAAAGCAGGUCAUAGUGAUCCGGUGGUUCUGAAUGGAAGGGCCAUCGCUCAACGGAUAAAAGGUACUCCGGGGAUAACAGGCUGAUACCGCCCAAGAGUUCAUAUCGACGGCGGUGUUUGGCACCUCGAUGUCGGCUCAUCACAUCCUGGGGCUGAAGUAGGUCCCAAGGGUAUGGCUGUUCGCCAUUUAAAGUGGUACGCGAGCUGGGUUUAGAACGUCGUGAGACAGUUCGGUCCCUAUCUGCCGUGGGCGCUGGAGAACUGAGGGGGGCUGCUCCUAGUACGAGAGGACCGGAGUGGACGCAUCACUGGUGUUCGGGUUGUCAUGCCAAUGGCACUGCCCGGUAGCUAAAUGCGGAAGAGAUAAGUGCUGAAAGCAUCUAAGCACGAAACUUGCCCCGAGAUGAGUUCUCCCUGAGACUUAGAGUCUCCUGAAGGAACGUUGAAGACGACGACGUUGAUAGGCCGGGUGUGUAAGCGCAGCGAUGCGUUGAGCUAACCGGUACUAAUGAACCGUGAGGCUUAACCUUACA